GUCACGAUAGCUCAAGUGAUAGAGCAGCGGCUUUUUUAGCCGAAGGUCGUGGGUUCGAAUCCCUCUCGUGACA
rnacentral:tRNA from 1 species